AAUAAGAGUAACUGUUGGAGUCUUUGGUUUCUGAGCCGUUAGGGUGCUCUCAGGUCACAUGGGCAGGCCUUGUUCCAGAAGUGUUAGAACUAAAAUAUUACUCCAAAAAGCAAUAGCUGAAAUUCUCAGCGCUAGGUGCUUGACCUUUAAGAAAAGCAGUAAAUAGCGUGAGACUCGUGACUGACAUUUUUGGGAUCACCCAGACCACUAAGAGGUUCUGGCACCAUCUGCCUUGUAACUUUGGAUGUCCUGAUGUUCACAUCCUUGUAGCCAGCCUACAAGCAUAAAUGUCUCUCAACCCUAACUUCCAGCAGCCUAGUUGCUCCUUGCAGGGUGACCCCACAGCCCCUUUGGUCCUGAGUCCCCCCCCAAAAUCCAUCACCCUGAGUUCUCAACUGCCAGAUACAGAAUUUUUCUUUCUGGAUCCUCACCCCCGAAGGAGUAAAACCUGGCACCAAUUAUCAAUUCACUUUGGAGGACACACUCCCACAGUUUGCACACCAGUGGCCUGCUUAGGGAAAAAAUAAAAAAUUUAAUGAAAAAAUCACAGAUUCAAAGACGAAAUAGUAAGGAAGAGCAAACAUACAAGAUACACAGAAAAUAAACAAAGAUGCAAUCUCAGCUUCACAUUUCUAUAGUAGCUAAAUUCUCUUUUCUAAUACAAGUUGCCUAUUGCCUCUGAACAGUUUCCCUGUGUGCCCUCUGUCCUUAAGGGGGAUCCAGUGUUUCACAAACAGCAGUCUGCGUAGAUGCUGGCCCUCAGUUUCUAGACAGCCAUCACUCCAAACCUGUUAACCUGAAACUCAGAGUAAAUAGGCCAGCUACAAUUCUGGUUUCAGCAGCAGGAUCUUUUCAUCCCUCAGGAUCUAUCAUCUGGGGUUAGAUAGAAGUUGGUGUGCCUCCCACCUCCCUUGUGUGUGUAGUGGACAAAAGAGAUAGAGGAUUUUUCCAAAACAAAAACAGAAGAUUUAUUUAAGAGAAGUAACACCAGGAACAGGGAAGAAUCAUGAACUAUAACCAGAUAACAAGUGAUCCACGGGCUCACAGGAUCUAGAAGCUGAAGUAGUGGGGCCCGAAGCUGCUGGUGAUCUUGAUUCGAUUGCCUCAUCCAGUGGUCUUGAUCCGGAGAUCCGACACCGCACAAAAAGACUGCACCUUGACUGUCUCUAUAACAGAUAGCUCCCUAGCAACGGGUGCUCAGACUAAUUUAAUUUUUUUAAAGACGCACACGCCUAGAUCAUUCUGAGAUAUGUAUCUGUUGGACAAUCAAAGGAGCUACUUCAUUCCUAUGGACCCCAAA